GCAUUAAUCGGAUUUAUUGGGCGUAAAGGGCGCGUAGGCGGAGAUGCAAGUCAGAUGUGAAAUCCCGGGGCUCACCCCCGGAACUGCAUUUGAAACUGCAUCCCUUGAGGGUAGGCGGAGAAAACGGAAUUCCACAAGUAGCGGUGAAAUGCGUAGAUAUGUGGAAGAACACCAGUGGCGAAGGCGGUUUUCUAGCUUAUUCCUGACGCUGAGGCGCGAGAGCAAG
rnacentral:rRNA from 1 species